rnacentral:rRNA from 1 species
UAGCAUGCAAGUCGAACGCCCCUUCGGGGGAGUGGCGAAAGGGCGAGGAAUACGAUCGAAUGUACCCUGAGGUAGGGAAUAGCCAGCCUAACGGCUGAGUAAUACUCUAUGUGCUCUUCGGAGGAAAGCUCAGGCGCCUUGGGAGCAGCGAUCGUCCUAUCAGGUUGUUGGUGAGGUAACGGCUCACCAAGCCGAAGACGGGUAGCGGGUGUGAGAGCAUGACCCGCCGCAUCGGGACUGAGACACUGCCCGGACUCCUACGGGAGGCUGCAGCGACGAAUCUUCCGCAAUGGGCGCAAGCCUGACGGAGCAAUGCCGCGUGCAGGAUGAAGCGGCUCCGCCGUGUAAACUGCUGUCAGAUUCUCGAAACACUGAUCAGAAUCAAAGGAAGGGCCGGCUAAACUCGUGCCAGCAGCCGCGGUAAUACGAGUGGCCCGAGCGUUAAUCGGAAUUACUGGGCUUAAAGCGUGCGCAGGCGGAUCGGUAGGCGUCUUGUGAAAGCCCACGGCUCAACCGUGGAAUUGCAGGGCGAACCCCCGGUCUUGAGGCAGGUAGGGGUCGACGGAGCUAUCGGUGGAGCGGUGAAAUGCGUAGAUAUCGAUAGGAACACCAAUGGCGAAGGCAGUCGACUGGGCCUGUUCUGACGCUCAGGCACGAAAGCGUGGGGAGCAAACAGGAUUAGAUACCCUGGUAGUCCACGCCGUAAACGAUGUGCACUAGAUCGGGGCGGCUCUCACGCCCUCCCGGUCGAAGGAAAACCGUUAAGUGCACCGCCUGGGGAGUACGGUCGCAAGGCUAAAACUCAAAGGAAUUGACGGGGGCUCACACAAGCGGUGGAGCAUGUUGCUUAAUUCGAGGCAACGC